GUGCCUUAAACUAAUGAGUAAGGAAAAUUACGGGCCAUGCUGACGCGUGGUUCAGCUUACCCAAGUGGCACCGGGAUCCUGUCUCGGUGCUUCUGAAGCAUAAAUUUUUCCUAGAGGCACAGGUCGUCCCCUCGCAGUGGUCCUGCCUACUUUUGCAGGAUGCUCGGGCGUGAUUAGCGAUCUGCCUC